rnacentral:rRNA from 1 species
GAUGAACGCUGGCGGCGUGCCUAAUACAUGCAAGUCGAGCGAACAGACGAGGAGCUUGCUCCUCUGACGUUAGCGGCGGACGGGUGAGUAACACGUGGAUAACCUACCUAUAAGACUGGGAUAACUUCGGGAAACCGGAGCUAAUACCGGAUAAUAUAUUGAACCGCAUGGUUCAAUAGUGAAAGACGGUUUUGCUUUCACUUAUAGAUGGAUCCGCGCCGCAUUAGCUAGUUGGUAAGGUAACGGCUUACCAAGGCAACGAUGCGUAGCCGACCUGAGAGGGUGAUCAGCAACACUGGAACAGAGACAAGGACCAGACUCCUAAGGGAGGCAGCAGUAGGGAAUCUUCCGAAAUGGGCGAAAGCCUGACGGAGCAACGCCGCGUGAGUGAUGAAGGUCUUCGGAUCGUAAAACUCUGUUAUUAGGGAAGAACAAAUGUGUAAGUAACUAUGCACAUCUUGAAGGUACCUAAUCAGAAAGCCCCGGCUAACUACGUG